UACGAAGGGGGCUAGCGUUGCUCGGAAUCACUGGGCGUAAAGGGUGCGUAGGCGGUUCUUUAAGUCAGGGGUGAAAUCCUGGAGCUCAACUCCAGAACUGCCUUUGAUACUGAGGAUCUUGAGUUCGGGAGAGGUGAGUGGAACUGCGAGUGUAGAGGUGAAAUUCGUAGAUAUUCGCAAGAACACCAGUGGCGAAGGCGGCUCGCUGGCCCGAUACUGACGCUGAGGCACGAAAGCGUGGGGAGCAAACAGG
rnacentral:rRNA from 1 species